GAUCAAAGCCCUCACCACUGAUGUCGAGAAGUUCUACCAGCAGUGCGAUCCUGAGAAGGAGAACUUGUGUCUCUAUGGACUUCCAAAUGAAACGUGGGAAGUUAACUUGCCGGUGGAGGAGGUGCCUCCUGAGCUCCCGGAACCAGCAUUAGGUAUAAACUUUGCAAGGGAUGGGAUGCAGGAGAAAGACUGGUUAUCACUGGUUGCAGUUCACAGUGACUCAUGGUUGCUUGCUGUUGCAUUCUAUUUUGGUGCUCGUUUUGGGUUUGGGAAGACUGAAAGGAAGAGGCUAUUCCAGAUGAUCAACGAUCUCCCAAGUGUAUUUGAAGUUGUGACUGGAAAUGGUAAGCAGUCGAAAGAGCAGUCUGCCACACAUAACAAUGGCAGUAAAAGCAAGUCGAGUGGAAAGAUGCAGUCCCGGCAAUUGGAGUCCCAUAGCAAGGGAGUGAAGAUGUCUCCACCACCGAAAGAGGAUGAAGAUAGCGGGGAAGAUGAGGAGGAAGAAGAAGACGAUGAACAGGGUGCAACAUGUGGGGCUUGUGGGGACAACUACGGCAAUGACGAAUUCUGGAUUUGUUGCGAUGUGUGUGAAAGAUGGUUCCAUGGAAAAUGUGUGAAGAUUACACCUGCAAAGGCGGAGCAUAUCAAGCAAUACAAGUGUCCAAGUUGCAGUAACAAGAGAGCAAGGGUUUGAUUUAGGAUCUGAAAGUUGGAGAUAGUUGCAGGGAAGG
rnacentral:misc_RNA from 1 species